UGCAGGGUUGGUACAUUGUGACCUAUGC
rnacentral:piRNA from 1 species